GACGAACGCUGGCGGCGUGCUUAACACAUGCAAGUCGAACGGAAAGGCCCUGCUUGCAGGGUACUCGAGUGGCGAACGGGUGAGUAACACGUGGGUGAUCUGCCCUGCACUUCGGGAUAAGCCUGGGAAACUGGGUCUAAUACCGGAUAGGAGCCACGUUCAGCGUGAUGGUUGGAAAGUUUUUUCGGUGUUGGAUGAGCUCGCGGGCUAUCGGCUUGUUGGUGGGGUAAUGGCGUACCAAGCCGCCAACGGGUAGCCGGCCUGAGAGAGUGGACGGCCACAUUGAGACUGAGGUGCGGCCCAGACUCCUACGGGAGGCAGCAGUGGGGAAUCUUGCACAAUGGGCGCAAGCCUGAUGCAGCGGCGCCGCGUGGGGGAUGGCGGCCUUCGUGUUGUAGACACCUUUCGCUAGGGACGAAGCUUUUUGUGACGGUACCUAGAUAAGAAGCACCGGCUAACUACGUG
rnacentral:rRNA from 1 species